rnacentral:tRNA from 1 species
GGACAUAGCUCUAUGGUGGAGCACUUGCCUAUCGUGCACAAGGCCCUGGGUUCAAUCCCCAGCAUUGUACA